AACAGAUAUCCAAAACGGUUCUUGGCCAGGAAAAAGGAUUUGUGCUAAACUUUUCUUUUCUCCAGUUUCAGUUAAAUCUUUCAGUUCAGUUUCUUCCCCAACAUUAUCGUCUUUUUUGGCUUUAAAGAGAUGCUCCAGCAUCAAGCAAUGUACAUAUGUAUGUAGCAGUCAUGUUGGCUUCCGUGAUCAAUUCUUCUUGUGUUGAUGUGUCUUUUCACGACACAAUUGGAACAUGCUGAUCAACUUGCUGCUGCUGGAAGUCUCCAUCCUAUUACCUCAUCCUGGAUGGUGUACCAAGGACAGUAUAUGAAGGAGCAGUAAUCUCCCGGUAUUCACCACCACGGCAUGUGUUUCUAGUGGGUUCGGAUUCUUUCA